rnacentral:rRNA from 1 species
UGCGUAGGUGGUUAUAUUAGUCGCUCGUUAAAUCCCGAGGCUUAACCUCGGAACUGCGGGCGAAACGGUAUAACUAGAGGGAGUGAGAGGUGAAUGGAACUCAUGGUGUAGGGGUGAAAUCCGUUGAUAUCAUGGGGAACACCGAAAGCGAAGGCAAUUCACUGGCACUUUCCUGACACUCAAGCACGAAAGCGUGGGUAGCGAACG